rnacentral:rRNA from 1 species
UACGUAGGGUGCAAGCGUUGUCCGGAAUUAUUGGGCGUAAAGAGCUCGUAGGCGGUCUGUCGCGUCUGCUGUGAAAACUCAGGGCUUAACCCUGAGCUUGCAGUGGGUACGGGCAGACUAGAGUGCGGUAGGGGGGACUGGAAUUCCUGGUGUAGCGGUGAAAUGCGCAGAUAUCAGGAGGAACACCGGUGGCGAAGGCGGGUCUCUGGGCCGGUACUGACGCUGAGACGCGAAAGCGUGGGGAGCAAACAGG